rnacentral:rRNA from 1 species
UACAGAGGUCUCAAGCGUUGUUCGGAUUCAUUGGGCGUAAAGGGCGCGUAGGCGUCCACCGCAAGUCGGUUGUGAAAUCUCUGGGCUUAACCCAGAAAGGUCAACCGAUACUGCGGGGCUAGAGUGCAGAAGGGGCAACUGGAAUUCUCGGUGUAGCGGUGAAAUGCGUAGAUAUCGAGAGGAACACCUGCGGCGAAGGCGGGUUGCUGGGCUGACACUGACGCUGAAGCGCGAAAGCUAGGGGAGCGAACGGG